AGUCGAGCGAGAAGCCACCUUCGGGUGGUGGGAAGCGGCGGACGGGUGAGUAAGGCGUGGGAAUAUGCCCUUUGGUACGGAAUAGCCCUUGGAAACGAGGCGUAAUACCGUAUGUGCCCUACGGGGGAAAGAUUUAUCGCCAAAGGAUUAGCCCACGUUGGAUUAGCUAGUUGGUGAGGUAAAGGCUCACCAAGGCAACGAUCUAUAGCUGGUUUGAGAGGAUGAUCAGCCACACUGGGACUGAGACACGGCCCAGACUCCUACGGGAGGCAGCAUUGGGGAAUAUUAGACAAUGGGCGCAAGCCUGAUCUAGCCAUGCCGCGUGAGUGAAGAAGGCCCUAGGGUUGUAAAGCUCUUUCAGAUGUGAGGAUGAUGACAGUAACAUCAGAAGAAGCCCCGGCUAACUUCGUGCCAUCAGCCGCGGUAAUACGAAGGGGGCUAGCGUUGUUCGGAAUUACUGGGCGUAAAGGGCGCGUAGGCGGACUGGUCAGUUUGGGGUGAAAGCCCGGGGCUCAACCUCGGAACU
rnacentral:rRNA from 1 species